rnacentral:rRNA from 1 species
CCUACGGGAGGCAGCAGUGGGGAAUAUUGCACAAUGGGGGGAACCUUGAUGCAGCAACGCCGCGUGGGUGAAGAAGUACUCCGGUAUGUAAAGCCCUGUCAGCAGGGAAGAAAAUGACGGUACCUGACCAAGAAGCACCGGCUAACUCCGUGCCAGCAGCCGCGGUAAUACGGGGGGUGCAAGCGUUGUCCGGAUUCAUUGGGCGUAAAGAGUUCGUAGGCGGCACGUAAAGUCUGGUGUUAAAGGUAGUGGCUCAACUUCUGUACGGCACUGGAUACUUGCGAGCUAGAAUGCGGUAGAGGUAAACGGAAUUCGUGGUGUAGCGGUGAAAUGCUUAGAUAUCAGGAGGAACAUCGGUGGCGUAGGCGCUUUACUGGGCCGUAAUUGACGCUGAGGAACGAAAGCCAGGGUAGCAAAUGGGAUUAGAUACCCGAGUAGUC